CCUUUGACGAUUGACUCAUGUUGCCUCGGCGGGUCCUCCCGCCAGAGGAUACAUCAAAACUCCUGUUUUAACGGUGUUGUCUGAGCUACAAGCAACGAAUCAAAACUUUCAACAACGGAUCUCUUGGUUCUGGCAUCGAUGAAGAACGCAGCGAAAUGCGAUAAGUAGUGUGAAUUGCAGAAUUCAGUGAAUCAUCGAAUCUUUGAACGCACAUUGCGCCCCUUGGUAUCCCGAGGGGCAUGCCUGUUCGAGCGUCAUUUCACCACUCAAGCCUGGCUUGGUGUUGGGCGACGUCCCCCUUUAGGGACGCGCCUCGAAACGCUCGGCGGCGUGGCACCGGCUUUAAGCGUAGCAGAAUCUUUCGCUUUGAAAGUCGGGGCCCCGUCUGCCGGAAGACCUACUCACAAGGUUGACCUCGGAUCAGGUAGGGAUACCCGCUGAACUUAAGCAU
rnacentral:misc_RNA from 1 species